rnacentral:pre_miRNA from 13 species
UGGUGGGCUGGGUUCCUGGCAGAGUGAUUUGAUUUAAUAAUGUAAAAUCACAUUGCCAGGGAUUACCAACCCGUC